rnacentral:rRNA from 1 species
UUAUUUGAGAGUUUGAUCCUGGCUCAGGAUGAACGCUGGCGACGUGCCUAACACAUGCAAGUUGAGCGAUUUACUUCGGUAAAGAGCGGCGGACGGGUGAGUAACGCGUGGGUAACCUACCCUGUACACACGGAUAACAUACCGAAAGGUAUGCUAAUACG